UCCACAGUAGCUCAGUGGUAGAGCUAUCGGCUGUUAACCGAUCGGUGGUAGGUUCGAGUCCUACCUGUGGAGCCA
rnacentral:tRNA from 1 species